GAGAUAACUAGGUGCUAUCUAAAAACUUAUUUGCCAAAGAGCCUAAAAGGUACAAAAUAUCAGUAGGAGAUUGUUCGUUCAUAGUUCCAGAAAAUUGGGAACAUGAGCUUUUGAGGAUAUUGGAAGUUAAAUUUAAUUCUAUCAUGUCAUUAGAAGAAUUACAUGGAUUCAAGAAUGUUGAACUCUUAUGCUUAGUUGAAUUUUCAGAAGAUGACAACUAUGUUGAAGAUUCAAAAUUUGAUUUGCAGUCUAGUGAAAACAUGCCUCUGUUUAAUGAAAAGGUUAUUUUUACCAAUUUUAGAAUGUUGGUAUUGUACAAUAUUAGUUUGGGAAAGAUUUGGGAUAGCCGAAUUUCAGCUCUCUCAAAAUUUGAAAUGAUUGAAGUUGGAGAGAUGUGGAAAGAUAACAUAUGUGUUUCCAUUCUCCAUAGCCAAAAGCCUCAAACAACUUCAAUGCUUAGAGAUAAUAGAUUGUGAGGUUUUAGAGAAGACUGUUGUUGAAGAAGGAGCAGAAGUUGUUGUUAAUCCUAUCUUUCCACAGGUAACAAAAUUGGUGCUCAAAAGAUUACCAAAACUUACAAUUUUCUAUUCAGGAACACAUGCUUUAGAAUUACCAGUGUUAAAAAGGUUAGAGAUAGAGCAUUGUGAAAAAUUCACUUCCAAAUAUUUUGGUUUGCAAGAUGACAAUAAGAAGGGUGAACUUCAAAUUUCAGAGUCAAAUUUCCUCUUCUUGGAGCAUAAGGUACGAAUCUCUUGUUUUAAAGAUGUAAUUGUUAAUGUCUUUUUGCUUGAACCAAAAUCUAGAAAAAAAAAUGAUCAAUUGAAUUUGGACAAUUUUGUUACGAGAAUAGACGAGCAAAAAAUUAUUGCAGUUUUGAAACAAAUUAUUUGUAAACGGUAUCUAAUAGGAGUCACACAUUUUAAUU